CCAAGUAUACAUAAUUGCUGUGUGCUUGCACGACAGCAAUUAUGUAAAUUUGGCGCACCCAACGAUAUGAGCAAGGAGGGCGAGCAGCCCGGAUUGCGAAUAUCGGGGGGCGAUUGCGGGAGCACGGAAGUGCGGAGCAAUCG
rnacentral:sRNA from 1 species